GACGAACGCUGGCGGCGUGCUUAACACAUGCAAGUCGAGCGGUAAGGCCCUUUCGGGGGUACGACGAGCGGCGAACGGGUGAGUAACACGUGGGUGACCUGCCCUCCAGCUCUGGGAGUAAGCCUGGGAAACCGGGUCUAAUACUGGAUAUGACUCCAUGACGCAUGUUGUGGGGUGGAAAGCCUUGUGCGGCUGAGGAUGGGCCCGCGGCCUAUCAGCUUGUUGGUGGGGUGAUGGCCUACCAAGGCGACGACGGGUAGCCGGCCUGAGAGGGCGACCGGCCACACUGGGACUGAGACACGGCCCAGACUCCUACGGGAGGCAGCAGUGGGGAAUCUUGCGCAAUGGGCGAAAGCCUGACGCAGCGACGCCGCGUGAGGGAUGACGGCCU
rnacentral:rRNA from 1 species